UUAUUUCUUCUACGGGUAUUGGUUUAGCCACUCCGGCGUCUGAUACCCAGCAGGCGCCCCGGCAAACAGGGUCGCCUACCGCAACGUUUCACAAGAACCCCCGGUCGGCCACCCGACCGGGGG
rfam:Pseudomonas tuomuerensis strain JCM 14085 PT85_2, whole genome shotgun sequence.